GAUGUCUUGCUCCUAUUCAAACAGAGUCUGCCUCCCUUGGACCUUGGGUUGUCAUCUGUCCUCACACUAUCUCUGGAGCUAGUCUCCUUCCUUGAAAGACUGUCUGUGGAUGACCCUGAGGCCCCUCCUCCACCUGCUGUCUUGUGACUACGUUCCAGCACUCAGAACAUCUGCACCAAGGCCGGCUGAACAGUGAACAUGUUCAUUGUGGGAACAUUUCACGUGAGCUCCACCUCCGUAUUCCCCCAGGGCAAGCUAAAUGGAAUACACACAUCAUCUCAGCAAGGCAUGGAUGGGGAAACCAAGGCAGAGAGAAACUCAGCAACACAACAACGGUGACACAGCAAGUGAGCAGCUGGGACAAACCCUGGGAGUCCUGUUUCCAACCCUCGCCCAGUACUGAAUCUUCUGAGUUAGGCAGAAUGUGUUAACAAGUAGCAGAAUAAAUAUAACAACAGCAGUAAUCA
rnacentral:lncRNA from 1 species